AGUGAACGCUGGCGGUAGGCCUAACACAUGCAAGUCGAACGGCAGGACAGUAAGAGCUUGCUCUUACGGGUGGCGAGUGACGGACGGGUGAGACAUACAUAGGAAUCUUCUUUUUCGGGGGGGAUAUCGUAGGACAACUUAUGCUACUACCGCAUAUGAUGUACGGCAUGAAGCAGGAGUUCUUCGCACCUUGCCCGAUUCAUUUAGCUGAUGCCGGAUUAGCUAGUUGGCUUGGUAAGGGCCCACCAUGGCAACGAUCCGUAGCUGGUCUGAGAGGAUGAUCAGCCACACUGGAACUGAGACACGGUCCAGACUCCUACGGGAGGCAGCAGUGGGGAAUAUUGGACAAUGGGCGAAAGCCUGAUCCAGCCAUACCGCGUGGGUGAUGAAGGCCUUCGGGUCGUAAAGCCCUUUUGUUGGGAAAGAAAAGCAGCAGGAGAAUCCGUCGCUGUUCUGACGGUACCCAAAGAAUAAGCACCGGCUAACUUCGUG
rnacentral:rRNA from 1 species